rnacentral:rRNA from 1 species
GACGAACGCUGGCGGCGUGCUUAACACAUGCAAGUCGAACGAAGAGCGAUGGAAGCUUGCUUCUAUCAAUCUUAGUGGCGAACGGGUGAGUAACGCGUAAUCAACCUGCCCUUCAGAGGGGGACAACAGUUGGAAACGACUGCUAAUACCGCAUACGAUCUAAUCUCGGCAUCGAGGAUAGAUGAAAGGUGGCCUCUACAUGUAAGCUAUCACUGAAGGAGGGGAUUGCGUCUGAUUAGCUAGUUGGAGGGGUAACGGCCCACCAAGGCGAUGAUCAGUAGCGGGUCUGAGAGGAGGAAGGGCAAAAUUGGGACGGAGACACGGCCAAGACCCCUAGGGGAGGCAGCAGGGGGGAUUCUCCCGCAAUGGAGGAAAGUCGGACGGAGCAACGCCGCGGGGGUGAGGACGGCCUUCGGUUUGAAAAGUUCGGUUAAUCGGGAAGAAAGGCUUUCUGGCGAAUAGUGAGAGGGAUUGACGGUACCGAAAUAAAAAGCCACGGCUAACUACGGG